rnacentral:rRNA from 1 species
AGAGUAGAUCGUCGGCAGCGUCAGAUGUGUAUAAGAGACAGGGUGAGUAACACGUGAGUAACCUGCCUUAGACAUUGGGAUAGCCUCGGGAAACCGGGAUUAAUACCAAAUGAAAUCAUAGGUGCCCAUGCACUAAUGAUCAAAACUCCGGUGGUCUAAGAUGGACUCGCGUCCCAUUAGCUAGUUGGUGAGGUAACGGCCCACCAAGGCGACGAUGGGUAGCCGGCCUGAGAGGGUGAACGGCCACAUUGGAACUGAGAAACGGUCCAAACUCCUACGGGAGGCAGCAGUGGGGAAUAUUGCACAAUGGAGGGAACUCUGAUGCAGCGACGCCGCGUGAACGAUGAAGGCUUUCGAGUCGUAAAGUUCUUUUAUAUGGGAAGAUAAUGACGGUACCAUAAGAAAAAGCCCCGGCUAACUACGUGCCAGCAGCCGCGGUAAUACGUAGGGGGCUAGCGUUGUCCGGAAUCACUGGGCGUAAAGGGUUCGCAGGCGGAAAUGCAAGUCAGAUGUAAAAGGCAGUAGCUUAACUACUGUAAGCAUUUGAAACUGCAUAUCUUGAGAAGAGUAGAGGUAAGUGGAAUUUUUAGUGUAGCGGUGAAAUGCGUAGAUAUUAAAAAGAAUACCGGUGGCGAAGGCGACUUACUGGGCUCAUUCUGACGCUGAGGAACGAAAGCGUGGGUAGCAAACAGGAUUAGAUACCCUGGUAGUCCACGCUGUAAACGAUGAGUGCUAGGUAUCGGAAUAAUUCGGUGCCGCAGUUAACACAUUAAGCACUCCGCCUGGGGAGUACGUGCGCAAGCAUGAAACUCAAAGGAAUUGACGGGGACCCGCACAAGCAGCGGAGCAUGUGGUUUAA